CCUUUGCACAUGAUUCAACCAGAGUGCUCCAGUGCUAUAUCCAGUUUGGGAAUGACAAGCAGAGACAGGAAGUUUUUGAUGAGUUAAAGGAACAUCUGGUUGAACUAAGCAAAUCAAAAUAUGCAAGAAAUGUUGUAAAGAAAUUUUUAAUGUAUGGUAACAAACAGCAAGUGUCUGAAGUUAUGAAAAGUUUUAAAGGGCAGGUGAGAAAAAUGCUGCGGCAUGCCGAGGCCUGUACAGUAGUUGAGUAUGCGUACAAUGACAAAGCCAUUCUGGAACAGCGACUGAUGUUGACAGAGGAGCUCUAUGGAAAUACAUUCCAGUUUUGCAAGUCUUCUAUUUGCCCAACACUUGACAAGGUGCUGGAGUCCAACCCUGAAAAACAAGCAAGCAUCAUGGAAGAAAUGAAACAGAUCCUUACUCCAAUGUCUCACAAGUAAGCACCAACAGGCUUGUAUUGUUUCUCCAGUUUAAUGUAUAUGGUUUCAACUUUGUUCCUCUGUUAAACUCCAAUUUCAACUAUUAAUAUCUCAGCAAUUAUAUGGAGUAGAGUUGUGUCCUUUGCAACAUAACCACCUUUAUGACUUGUAAAAACAGAUAACACCCGGAUACAAAAAAAUGUAAUCAGUGUAUAGCCAAUAAACACCGUCAAAACAGUGGAAAUGAUUACUCAAAACUUUUGGCCAUAGCUACUGUUUUCCGUAUUGCUGUAUUCCAUAUUGCCUCAAUUUGGCACUGUGGCAUUUAUUUUAAAUUGAUCAUGACUGCUGCGCUUAAAAGGGUGGCUGUCAUACUAGGGUGACCUUUAUUAAUAAUACUACGAUUUUCAAACUGCAAUAUUUUAUUACAUGAUUUAUGGCAUUUUAGAAGUAUCACAGUUGCUUAUUUUCUGUGUGUAACAGCAUGUGUAGCUAUCCUACUUUGACUACACUACAUUUAUCGGUGACAGUUACCGAGAACCUAUUAGGUGGGAGUUGGAAGGUCAGGGGAG